rnacentral:lncRNA from 1 species
UCGUCUUCAACCCCUGCCCCGCCGGACCUCGCCGCUCAAUUCGCCGCCUCCGGUGCUCCCCCGACCUCAGUGACCUCUCCAGCCGCACCAAUGUGAGCUCCUACAUCGAUUCCCCCUUUCCCAUCGUCGAAUACGUCGCCGUAGUUGUCGUACGUCACCGUGGCCGAACCCACCGGAGCUCGCGCUCACAGCAGCCUGCGCCCCGGGGCUCCGCUGCCGCGCUUUCCUGUGCAUGCUGGCCGCGAGCCCGCCCGCGCCCGCCUGCACGCAGCCUCGCCCCGCUCGCCUUUCCCCUGCUGCCGGCACUGCCCCGUCCCCUCCGGCCCCAGCCCGCAUCCCGCCAUGGCCGUCGCUCCGCCAUGGCCUAUGUUGCGGGCGCCCACGCCCGUGCCAUUCACCGCCUCCGCCGGUGCCCCGCUGCUACGGCCGCUCCGUGCUCCCCCGCCUCUCCCCCGGCCGCUCCGGCCACCACCGCACCUGGCCUCGCCCCCGCUUCCCCUUGCCGACAUUGCACCGCCGCCCCGGUGGCCAUCGCCGGCCACGGCCUCGGCCGUGCCCCGUUCGGGCGGGCACCCGCGCCCGCAGCGCCCCUGCGCCUAUAACCCGUGUGGCCUCUUGGGCCACUUAGAAGUGGGGCCCGCCCCUAUUAAAAAAAGAAGAGAAAAGAAAACAUAAAAAAUAAUUAUUUGAAUAAUUAGUUAAAUGGUUAACUAACUAACUUAAUUAAUCUAAUGAACUAGAUUAGUUAGUUAAAUCAGUAAUUAGUGAGCUGAGACAAUGAAAGGGGGGGCCCACCCCCUGUUGACCAGUCAAAUGUUGACUGGUCAACUGGGACCCCUUGUCCACCCGUCAGCCACUAGGUACACUUUUGUGUACACUGUGCUGGGUGCGCCUAGCAUUUUAGCAUUUAUUUUUGUAUUAAAAUUAAUUUCAGAAUAUUAAUAAAACUUUGAAAAUUAAUAGAAAUUAAACCGUAGCUCGGAUGAAAAAGUUUUAUACAUGAAAGUUGCUCAGAACGACGAGACGAAUCCAAAUACGCUCUCCGUUCAUCUGUCACAUGCCCCUAGCAUAGAGAACAUUGAACUUUUCCCCUCCGGUUUUUCUGUCCGAAAAUUCCAAACUUUGGGAAAACAUUCCCGGAUGUUAUCCCCCUUCACCGGUAGUGUGUAGCACCACGUUAGAACACGUCUAGCUCUGCCUGUUGUCCUGUUAUGCUCUUGAUUGCUAUGUAUUUAUUGUUUUCUCCCUGCUCUUCUCUUCGGUAGACCCCGUGACGGCCGUCGAUGCUGUUGUGAUCGACUACGUCGACGACGACCCCUCCUUCUCGCCUGAGCAACCAGGCAAGCCCCCCCCUUUGAUCAUCCCGAUAUCGCCCAUUCUAUUCUCUCAUGCUUGCAUUAGAUUUUGCUACUGUUAUUGUUUGCUCCUAUUCUGAUGCAUAGCCUGCUUUUGUACCUGCUAUUGUUACCUACCUGCUUAUUCUAAACUGCUUAGUAUAGGUUGGUUAGUGAUCGAUCAGUGACCCCCACCUUGUCCUUGUUGCCCCUGCUUCAUCUUCGACGACUCGAUCAACGUGAUCGAUGACCAGAGCAUGACACCUCACAUCACAUCACGCCCCUUUAGUUUCUCGACUCUGUAGAGCUACUAUCGAGUGCCGAGGGUGAUCCCUCAUAACGCACUCCUGAUGAUAAUUCUGUAGUGUAGCUAUUCGGUCGUGGUCAACAAGGGUGGUUCCUCGUUCACCAUUCCCGAUACGGUCUAUCAUGCAACACCUCAAGUGUGAACCUCGAGGGUGGAUCCUCUUACGUUCACCUUGAUGAUCACAUCGAGUGGAAUCCUUCGGGGGUGAUUCCUUGGGUUUUCCCCUUGAUGUCUAGACACACGGUUACCUUGAAUUUACUUGAGACCAUUGUUGAAGUCGGGUCGUCCCUGAGGGGUACCCGCGAGUUGAUGUGAAAGUUGGGCGGGCCGUUGAGCACCUGCGAGUUUUCCAUGUGGCACGACCGGGCAGUCUAGGCCCUUGCCAUAAGUCCACGAGACAGGGCGACGGGGUCACAUUAUCGUGAGUCUCUGCUCGUCUCCGCGAGACCCAAUGCACUAACAGGUUUGGGUAUUUGUUUUGAGUUGGCCUCUUGCCUUUACGCACUAACCACCACGUGAGAAUAGAUACGGGCCUCGACGUCGCAGUAUCAGUCGAAGCUUUGUCAGAUGUCCAGUUCAGCAUGGCGGCACGGUCGGAUCGUGCUGACCAUUCAAGGCGGUGCUGGUAUCCACCCUGUGCGUAACGACUUGGAGUGCUGCGGGCGAUGGGCCCAAGACCCCGGAGCGCUUAGGAUGUAGACCGGCGGGGACCUCUUUGCUGAGCCGAGGUAGGGCUGCGGCGUGUUGAUCUUCCGAUGCUGGGCAUUGACCCUAGGAAGGUGUGUCCGGCCAGAGUAAUCAAGCGUGUUGGGUAACGUGAUGCACCACUACAGGGAAGAUAUAUAUUCGAAUAACGUGUCCAUGGUAAUGGACGUUCAGACUUGUAUCCGGAUCUUAUAUAACUAGAAAUGGAUACUUGAGAUAUGUGAUGGAUAUGUGGCUCCGGGAUUGCUUUCUCGCAGGGAGUCAAGGACGGAUCUCUGGGCAUUGGUGCUACAACAUGCUUGUUAAAUAUUAAAAUGCUAGUCUUUACUCUUCUACAUGCUGCAAGAUGCUUGGAGCUUCUUCAAGAUGCUAGUCUUUGAUAGGCUAGGCCUUCCCCCUCUAUUCUGGCAUUCUGUAGUUCAGUCCAUAGAUACAAACCUUCCAUUUGAUACCAGUGCAUACUUAGUAUAGAUCUGAUGCUUGCGAGUACUUUGGAUGAGUACUCACGGUUGCUUUGCUACCCCUUUCCCCCCUUCUUUCUUCUUUCCGGUUGAUGCAACCAGAUGAUGGAUCCCUGGAGCCAUAUGCCACCACCGAUGGAUGCUACUAUAUGGAGACCGCCGACGACCAGGAGUAGUUAGGAGGUCCCAGGCAGGAGGCCUUGCCUCUUCGACCGUGUUGCUUUUGUGCUAGCCUUCUUAAGGCAUCCUUGUUUAAGAUAUGUCUGUACUCAGAUAUUGUUGCUUCCGUUGACUCUUGUGUAUCAAGCUUUUGUAUUCGAGCCCUCGAGGCUCCUAGUUUGUAAUAUAAAGCUUGUAUUCUUUUAUUUUUGUUUAGAGUUGUGUUGUGAUAUCUUCCCGUGAGUCCCUGAUCUUGAUCGUACACAUUUGCGUGUAUGAUUAGUGUACGUUGAAUCGGGGGCGUCAUAGGUUGGUAUCAGAGCCGACUGCCUGUAGGAUCCCCCUUUCCAACUCCUUGGCCGAAGUUGAGUCUAGUGUUUGAAAAAACUGAUUUACUAACAUGGCUGUGCGGCUUAUGGGCCCACGUCACCAUUGGGUGGUAUUAGGAUCUUUUACUCCCCGUCUAUACUCUGGGACUCUUAUCUCUCUUCUAUUCAGGUUAAAUGAUUUUGUUAACUCUAAGUCUAGGAUCUCGUGAAUACUUUCUUAUGGAGAGCGCCUCACUCUAGAUGAUUGCUUGGUCCACCAGAAGAUUCUGAAGAUACUCUCCGAUGUUUUACCAAGUCCCUUGUACCCUUCGCCGUUGCGAUCCCUACCACUGAUAACUCCUUAUACGUAACUACCUACAUUUGUCAUUCAUAUCUUCAUCCCCAGUUGCUCUUGUUAUUACAAGAUGCCCUGAAAAACUAUUUGAUCUUCCGAAAAUGCUCAGUAGCCUAUUACUCUUGUUCCUCCUUAUUUACUUGCAUUAUGGUUAUUUCCAUAUGUCUGGCAACACUCACCAGCAUCAUUUGUCAUCGUAAUUCCGAGCAUUUGAUUUGAUAUGUUUGUGAAUGCUCGCAAUCAUCAAUCAAAAAUAGAAUUCUUCCCAUCGGCUCAGACUUCACCCUGGACAUGAGCUGGUGUUCGACAAAUCAAGCCUUGAUUGAUUGUUGACCUAUGUCUAUUCAACUUACUUGUCUUUGAUCAGAGCCUCUGCUUCUGAUCCACCGUUUUGAAAAUCAUAAUUCCUUUGCUUUUGAGCUUUGAAUUAGCCAGUUGUUUCUAUAAUUUGAUAUCCUUGCAUUCUUUCUUCUUCUGGGUGAGUACUGAUACUCACAUCAGAUCCCUUGUGGACUACAAGGUCCUUUGUUGGAUUUUAUCCGAUAGCGUCCUUCAUAUUUAAUCACCUUGUGACCUUUUCCUCGGAUACAUAAUGCCUUUGGUAAAUUGUAUCCUCUAUUUCCUCAACCAUCCUCUACUUUCGAGCUUGAGUUAUUUACUCGUGAAGUUUGUGGUCUAUGUUCAUAAGAUGCUCCAGUGCUUUGAUCCUACGCCUUCCCUAAUCUGUGUGAAGCCGAAGAUUAUGCGAGUUAUAUCUACUAGCGUUUCUUUGGGUAAAAUUUUGACCUCUUCAAUGCCGUCGAAGAUGAGAAGUAAAUGGAAGGUUAUGCACUGAUGAAGUGGGAGUCGACCUUGAACCUUUGUGUUCAUGCCCAUGGACCCGAUGUAGAACUUAUCAUGGAAGCUUCUUUUUAUAAUAAUAAUCCCUUGUGGUAAGAUCAUCUUGUAUCUAUGUUUGGUCCAUUGCAACCGUGGUUCCAACCAUGAUUGUUCUCUUUUGAUUCCAUUUCUCGGACAAGUUAAAGUACUUAUCUUUUGCAGAUCUUUUCACCUGUCCAACCUCUAUCCUGUUCUACCUUCGAGUAUUACCCUCUGGUGUCUCGAGAAUAUCACGGAACUACAUAACUUCUUAUGAGUUCUUGAUGUACUAUUAUCUCGCUGAUUCCAAUUCUCCAUGGUUUCUGAGUUGUUAGACACUCGAGAACAGCGAUAACUGAUUCAAGACUACACUUUCCCUUCCAUUGUUUUGUUUAACCUUUCUUGUAACCUAUCAUAACUGAGCAGUGAUAAUUCCCUGCUAUGUAAACACCUCGGUGUACAUUCUCUAUCAGUAAGACCUUGUUACUAUUGUUGAUGACAUUUCGGUUGCCACCGAUGGAUGAGAACUUUGCCUAUUGGUUCGCCUCGUCUUGAUGAGCAGGAAAAUGGUUCUCUUCGUCCCUCGCCGUUGGUACCAACGUUGUUGCCAACAUAAUUGACAGGCUAUCCUCUGACCUGCCUUGCUAUCUUGACCGUGCAAAAUGAUUAGCCCCUUCCUACUCUUUAACCCAUAUGGUGGGCCCAUAACCCACAGUUCCACAGGAUCGAAACCUGACUCUCCUGUACAACCUUGACUCCGAAAUAUUCUUUGCACUUGGCCUCAUAUGCAAAUCACAAGCCACCUUCCUAGUGAUCUAUUUUGGUAUCAUACGCAAUACUUAUUCCCAUUGCUCUGAACCUCUUUCAGCCCUUGUUUCAAGCAACGAAUGAUUGCCUACCCGGUUAAAGAUUCUUAUUGCACCUCCUUACCUAGAUCUCGAUGACUUUCUUGAAUUUCGACUCAAGAGAUGCCUCUAUGCCAUGUUCAAUGAGAUAUCCCCCAUGUACCUAUCUUGUGUUGAGCUCCGUCCUUCCCGAGUCUUUCCCCCUUACUCCACCCCUUAAAUCUCGGGACGAGAUUUCUUGUAGUGGAGGAGAUUUGUAACACCCCAGUAGCUCAACUACAAUAACCUCACACUAAUGGUGCCAUGUCAUCAAGUUUGACUAAGCCACAUUGCCACUUGAGAAAAAUCAAAUCCAAAUUCCUUUUGAAAUACAAGCCAAAUUCUUAUUUCUUUAAUUUGUCAAAUAAAAAUGUUCGAUGGGUUGCAAGUAUUCGCCAAGUAAUUGUCAUGAAGAAAUCAACUCAAAUUGGAUUUCUAUUUUGGCCAUGGCAAUAUUUUGGUGGACCAACAACAUUUCAUUUGGUCGUUUAAAUUCCAACAUAUAUUCUUACUUUUCCCGAACCACAAAAAAUUUUGUGUGUGGCCCUAUGUUAUCGGACUAUAUUUAUGUGCCAAGUUUCGUCUAUAACAAAAAUCGUUUGCUCACUCAAAUAAAUACCAAGAUGUAGCUAGAAAUAGAAAACAACGGUGAAAGUUUAAAACGGAAAAGAUAAUAGGAAACUAGAAGGCCCCCCACUGUGGACUGGGCCGUAAGACCAUAGUGCAAGGCCCAGCCCCGUCCCCCUCAUCCUUUUCCUCUGUACACUGGGGGAUGGCGUGGCAGCCAUCCACCCCGCCAUGGCCGUCGAUGCCACCACUGUCGUUCAUCCCGCGGUCGAGGGGAUGGAUAAGAGCACCCCAAGCCCCUCCUCUCUCUCCCUGUCAAACCCUAGCCCCAUUUCCUUCCCCCCCCCCUCGCUCGAUCCCCUCGCUAUAGCCACCGCACGCACCAUCGUCGCCAUGGACGCCGCCAGUCACGCGUCCACCGAGGUCGCCGAGGGCUAGGACCUACUCCAGGAGCUCCGUUGUGUUCGUCUUCGUCCUCUAUGCUGCCGGAUCGCGGCUGGGAGGCCCCCACGUCGACGCACGCAUCAAGCUCUUCGACGCCGUCUUCAACCCCUGCCCCGCCGGACCUUGCCGCUCAAUUUGCCGCCUCCGGUGCUCCCCCGACCUCAGUGACCUCUCCAGCCGCACCAAUUUGAGCUCCUACAUCGAUUCCCCCUUUCCCACCGUCGAAUCCGUCGCCGUAGUUGUCGUACGUCACCGUGGCCGAACCCACCAGAGCUCGCGCUCACCGUAGCAUGCGCCCCGGGGCUCCGCUGCCGCGCUUUCAUGUGCGUGUUGGCCGCGAGCCCACCCGUGCCCACCUGCACGCAGCCUCGCCCCGCUCGCCUUUCCCCUGUUGCCGGCGCUGCCACAUCCCCUCCAACCCCAGCCCGCACCCCGCCGUGGCCGUCGCCCCGCCAUGGCCUGUGUCGUGGGUGCCCACGCCUGCGCCGUUCACCGCCUCCGCCGGUGCCCCGCUGCUGCGAUGGCUCCGUGCUCCCCCGCCUCUCCGCUGGCCGCCCCGGCCACCACCGCACCUGGCCACGCCCCCGCUUCCCCUUGCCAGCGCCGCGCCGCCACCCUGCUGGCCAUCACCGGCCACGGCCUCGCCCGUGCCCCGUUCGGGCGGGCGCCCGCGCCUGCAGUGCCCCUGCGCCUGUAACCCGUGUGGCCUCUUGGGCCACUUACAAGUGGGGCCCGCCCCUGUUAAAAAAAAGAAGAGAAAAGAAAACACAAAAAAUAAUUAUUUAAUUAAUUAGUUAAAAGGUUAAUUAACUUAAUUAAUUAAUCUAAUGAACUAGAUUAGUUAGUUAAAUCAGUAAUUAGUGAGCUGAGACAAUGACAGGGGGGCCCACCCCCUGUUGACCAGUCAAACAUUGACUGGUCAACCGGGACCCCCUUGUCCACCCAUCAGCCACUUGGUACACUUUUGUGUACACUGUGCUGGGUGUGCCUAGCAUUUUAGCAUUUAUUUUGGUAUUAAAAUUAAUUACAGAAUAUUAAUAAAACUUUGAAAAUUAAUAGAAAUUAAACCGUAGCUCGGAUGAAAAAGUUUUAGACAUGAAAGUUGCUCAGAAUGACGAGACGAAUCCAAAUAGGCUCUCCGUUCCUCUGUCACAUGCCCCUAGCAUAGCGAACAAUGAAAUUUCCCCCUCCGGUUCCUUUGUCCGAAAAUGCCAAACUUCGGGAAAACAUUCCCAGAUGUUAUCCCCCUUCGCUGGUAGUGUGCAGCACCACGUUAGAACACGUCUAGCUCUGCCUGUUGUCCUGUUAUGCUCUUGUUUGCUAUGUAUUUACUGUUUUCUCCCCCCUCUUCUCUUCGGUAGACCCCGUGAUGGCUGCCGAUGCCGCUGUGAUCGACUACGUCGACGAUGACCCCUCCUUCUCGCCUGAGCAACCAGUCAAGCCCCCCCCUUUGAUCAUCCCGAUAUCGCCUAUUCUAUUCUCUCAUGCUUGCAUUAGAUUUUGCUACUGUUAUUGUUUGCUCCUAUUCUGAUGCAUAGCCUGCUUUUGUACCUGCUAUUGUUACCUACCUGCUUAUUUUAAACUGCUUAGUAUAGAUUGGUUAGCGAUUGAUCAGUGACCCCCACCUUGUCCUUGUUGCCCCUGCUUCAUCUUCGACGACUCGAUCAACGUGAUCGAUGACCAGAGCCUGACACCUCACAUCACAUCACGCCCCUUUAGUUGCUUGACUCUGUAGAGCUACUAUCGAGUGUCGAGGGUGAUCCCUCAUAACGCACUCCUGAUGAUAAUUCUGUAGUGUAGCUAUUUGGUCGUGGUCAACAAGGGUGGUUCCUCAUUCACCAUUCUCAAUACGGUUCUGUCGUGCAACACCUCAAGUGUGAACCUCGAGGGUGGAUCCUCUUACGUUCACCUUGAUGAUCACAUCGAGUGGAAUCCUCCAGGGGUGAUUCCUACCUUGACUUUACUUGAGACUAUUGUUGAAGUCGGGUCGGCCCUGAGGGGUACCCAUGAGUUGAUGUGAAAGUCGGGCGGGCCCGUUGAGCACCCGCGAGUUUUCCACGUGGCAUGGUCGGGCAGUCUGGGCCCUUGUCGUAAGUCCACGAGACGGGGCGACGGGGUCACAUUAUCGUGAGUCUCUGCUCGUCUCCGCGAGCCCCCAAUGCACUAACAGGUUUGGGUAUUUGUUCUGAGUUGGCCUCUGGCCUUUAUGCACUAACCAACACGCGAGAAUAGAUAUGGGCCUCGACGUCGCAGUAUCAGCCAAAGCUUUGUCAGACGUCCAGUUCAGCAUGGAGGCACGGUCGGAUCGUGCUGGCCAUUCGAGGCGGUGCUGGUAUCCACCCUGCGCGCAACGACCCAGAGUGUUGUGGGCGAUGGGCCCAAGACCCUGGAGCGCUUAGGAUGUAGAUCGGCGGGGACCUCUCUGCUGAGCCUAGGUAGGGUUGCGACGUGUUGAUCUUCCGAGGCCGGGCAUUGACCCCAGGAAGGUGUGUCCGGCCAGAGUAAUCAAGCGUGUUGGGUAACGUGGUGCGCCCCUGCAGGGAAGAUAUAUAUUCGAAUACCGUGUCCAGGGUAAUGGACGUUCAGACUUGUAUCCGGAUCUUAUAUAACUAGAAAUGGAUACUUGAGAUAUGUGAUGGAUAUGUGGCUCCAGGAUUGCUUUCUCGCAGGGAGUCGAGGAAGGAUCUCUGGGCGUUGCUGCUACAACAUGCUUGUUAAAUAUUAAAAUGCUACUCUUUACUCUUCUACAUGCUGCAAGAUGCUUGGAGCUGCUUGAAGAUGCUAGUCUUUGAUAGGCUAGGCCUUCCCCCCUCUAUUCUGGCAUUCUGCAGUUCGGUCCACAGAUACAAACCUUCCAUUUGAUACCAGUGCAUACUUAGUAUAGAUAUGAUGCUUGCGAGUACUUUGGAUGAGUACUCAUGGUUGCUUUGCUACCCCUUUCCUCCCUUCUUUCUUCUUUCCGAUUGAUGCAACCAGAUGAUGGAUCCCUGGAGCCAGAUGCCACCACUGAUGGAUGCUACUAUAUGGAGACCGCCGACGACCAGGAGUAGUUAGGAGGUCCUAGGCAGGAGGCCUUGCCUCUUCGAUCGUGUUGCUUUUGUGCUAGCCUUCUUAAGGCAUCCUUGUUUAACAUAUGUCUGUACUCAUAUAUUGUUGCUUCCGCUGACUCUUGUGUAUUGAGCUUUUGUAUUCGAGCCCUCGAGGCCCCUGGCUUGUAAUAUAAAUCUUGUAUUCUUUUAUUUUUGUUUAGAGUUGUGUUGUGAUAUCUUCCCGUGAGUCCCUGAUCUUGAUCAUACACAUUUGCGUGUAUGACUAGUGUACGAUUGAAUCGGGGGCGUCACACCCCUUCACUUAUUCCUGCACCCAUGCACUUCUUCUUCCUCCCAAAAAAGUCACUAUC